rnacentral:rRNA from 5 species
AAACCGUUGAAAGGGAAGCGAAUGGAGUUAGCAAUUCGCCUUGUCAGACUCAGCCGCUCGCGAGUAGCGACGCGCGCGUUCUCGAUCCGUAUAGACGAGGCGCGUGCGGGUGCGAUUUGCGGACGGCGCACUUCUGGCGGGCGAGUGUCAGCGUCGGUUGUCGAGGGGCGAGAAGGUCGCAAGGAAGGUGGACCGGUCUCACGGCCGGUUGUUAAGCCUCGCGCUCGCACGGCCCGACGACAACUGUGGCUCAGGGAGGCGACGCGUGCCUGGCUGGCGACUCGCUCGAUUGGUCCGGCAUGUCGACUGCGGCGGACGGCACGCCUGUGCGCUCAAACUGCUGCCGGUCGAUCGGACGAUGUUCGUACACUACGCGUCGAAGAUGCUGACGACCAUACGGCUCCAUCCGACCCGUCUUGAAACACGGACCAAGGAGUCUAACAUGUGCGCGAGUCUCCGGAUGAUGGAAACCCGUGGGCGCAAUGAAAGUAAAGAUCGUCCCAGACGAUUGAGGUGAGAAGCCGGCGCCACGCGCUCCGGCCGCAUCAUCGACCGACCUAUUCUGCUCUCAGAAAGGUUUGAGUAAGAGCGUAUCUGUUAGGACCCGAAAGAUGGUGAACUAUGCCUGAAUAGGGUGAAGCCAGCGGAAACACUG